AGCAGCCGCGGUAAUUCCAGCUCCAAUAGCGUAUAUUAAAGUUGUUGCAGUUAAAAAGCUGUAGUUGAAUUUCAGGAUCAAUAUUUCAGUCAUGCUGUUGAUAUGCACUGUUAUCAUUAUUUCUCACCUUCUAAAGAACCGUAAUGCCAUUAAUUUGGUAUUACGGGGAAUUAAGACGUUAUCUUGAAAAAUUAGAGUAUUUAAAGCAGGCUCAC
rnacentral:rRNA from 1 species